rnacentral:rRNA from 1 species
UGGGGAAUAUUGGACAAUGGGCGCAAGCCUGAUCCAGCAAUGCCGCGUGAGUGAUGAAGGCCUUAGGGUUGUAAAGCUCUUUCGCACGCGACGAUGAUGACGGUAGCGUGAGAAGAAGCCCCGGCUAACUUCGUGCCAGCAGCCGCGGUAAUACGAAGGGGGUCUAGCGUUGUUCGGAAUUACUGGGCGUAAAGGGCGCGUAGGCGGCCUGUUUAGUCAGAAGUGAAAGCCCCGGGCUCAACCUGGGAAUAGCUUUUGAUACUGGCAGGCUUGAGUUCCGGAGAGGAUGGUGGAAUUCCCAGUGUAGAGGUGAAAUUCGUAGAUAUUGGGAAGAACACCGGUGGCGAAGGCGGCCAUCUGGACGGACACUGACGCUGAGGCGCGAAGCGUGGGGAGCAACAGGAUUAGAUACCCUGGUAGUCCACGCCGUAAACGAUGAAUGCUAGACGUCGGGGUGCAUGCACUUCGGUGUCGCCGCUAACGCAUUAAGCA